rnacentral:lncRNA from 1 species
CGCACCCUGGGGCGCCGGGGUGCUUUGACAGCUGAGCAGAGGGUCCCCUCGGAGAUCAUUGGGCUCUGCAAAAGAGGAGAAGACUGUGGUGAGUGUGUGCCUGCCUAUACAUGUGUAUGAACCAUGUGCACGCCUGGUGCCGGAAGAGUCCAAGGCAGCAGCAGAGUCCCUGGAACUGGAGCUAUGGAUGGUUGGUUUUGAGCUACCAUGCAGGGCAAGGGCGUACAGACAUGGGCAGGCAAGGAAGCAGGGAUCCUCUGAAGUUUCACAGCCUAAGAACACGACCAGCAGGGAUGUGUCCAUGAAAAUGUAAUCACCGGAAGUUACAGCUUGCUGCAUCCAGAAGAAAUAAGAUGAUGCUGACAUUUAAAAGAUUUCUCCCACCGAGGAAACACCUGCUCUGUCCAGCACCAUUUGAAGUUCUGUACCAGCAAGCGCUUCCUCCAGAGAAGGGAGGUGUAGCUAGCGUGGCUGAAGGUAAGGAUCAAAGAAUUUUAAACACCAGCUUCCUAAGUCUGAUGAUGAGCAUCACAAGUUGACAGCCAGGAGGACCAGCGUGUUACAGCCAAUGGGGAACUUUAAAGAACCCAUUAAAAGAAGAAAGAAAAGAAGAGAAAAGACGUCCUUUUUUUUUUUUUUUUUAAAGAGAAUGCAGUUUGCCCAAUACUCAGUGUACUAUUGGAUAUUUUGUAAGAUGGAUUUUGCAUCUCUGGGCCUCCUGAACCUAUACCUGUGACGACAUGACCUUCCUGGGUUUGUGCCUCACGUACCAAGUAUUGACUGAAAUCCCUGGUGAGAUCUGAUGAACACCUCCUUGUAUGUCUUAUACUUUUGGGGCUCCCUACAGCAAGUUAUUCUUCUGUGGUUGUUGUUGUUGUUUUAAUUAUUGUUAAUUUGUGUGUGUGUGCCUGUGUGUGUGUGUGUAACUGUCUGUGUAAUAAAGUAUAUAUGCAUUAUGGGUGUGCAGGAGCCCACAGAGGCCAGAAGAGGUCAUCAGAUCUCCUGGAACUUGAGUUACUGGAUCUUGUGAGCCACCAUGUGGGUUCUUAAUUCUUUUUUAAGUUCCAUGAUUUUUUUUUUUUGUAUUCUCACACAUGCAUCUUUAUCUCCAUGAAUUUUUUUCUCAGUAUUUCCAACGCAAAAUUGUAAAUAUAUUUAAAAUAUUAUGACAUAUUA